rnacentral:misc_RNA from 1 species
GAUGAAGAACGCAGCGAAAUGCGAUAAGUAAUGUGAAUUGCAGAAUUCAGUGAAUCAUCGAAUCUUUGAACGCACAUUGCGCCCGCCAGUAUUCUGGCGGGCAUGCCUGUUCGAGCGUCAUUACAACCCUCAGGCCCCCGGGCCUGGCGUUGGGGAUCGGCGGAGCCCCCCGUGGGCACACGCCGUCCCCCAAAUGCAGUGGCGGUCCCGCCGCAGCUUCCAUCGCGUAGUAGCUAACACCUCGCGACUGGAGAGCGGCGCGGCCACGCCGUAAAACACCCAACUCUUCUGAAGUUGACCUCGAAUCAGGUAGGAAUACCCGCUGAACUUGAGCAUAUCAAUAAGCGGAGGA